rnacentral:rRNA from 1 species
CCUACGGGAGGCAGCAGUGGGGAAUAUUGCACAAUGGGGGAAACCCUGAUGCAGCAACGCCGCGUGAAGGAUGACGGUUUUCGGAUUGUAAACUUCUUUUCUUAGUGACGAAGACAGUGACGGUAGCUAAGGAAUAAGCAUCGGCUAACUACGUGCCAGCAGCCGCGGUAAUACGUAGGAUGCAAGCGUUAUCCGGAUUUACUGGGUGUAAAGGGAGCGCAGGCGGGACUGCAAGUUGGGUGUGAAAUACCGUGGCUUAACCACGGAACUGCAUCCAAAACUGUAGUUCUUGAGUGAAGUAGAGGCAAGCGGAAUUCCGAGUGUAGCGGUGAAAUGCGUAGAUAUUCGGAGGAACACCAGUGGCGAAGGCGGCUUGCUGGGCUUUAACUGACGCUGAGGCUCGAAAGUGUGGGGAGCAAACAGGAUUAGAUACCCUGGUAGUCCACACUGUAAACGAUGAAUACUAGGUGUGCGGGGACUGACCCCCUGCGUGCCGCAGUAAACACAAUAAGUAUUCCACCUGGGGAGUACGAUCGCAAGGUUGAAACUCAAAGGAAUUGACGGGGGCCCGCACAAGCGGUGGAUUAUGUGGUUUAAUUCGAAGCAACGCGAAGAACCUUACCAGGGUUUGACAUCCUGCUAACGAAGUAGAGAUACAUUAGGUGCCCUUCGGGGAAAGCAGAGACAGGUGGUGCAUGGUUGUCGUCAGCUCGUGUCGUGAGAUGUUGGGUUAAGUCCCGCAACGAGCGCAACCCCUAUUGUUAGUUGCUACGCAAGAGCACUCUAGCGAGACUGCCGUUGACAAAACGGAGGAAGGUGGGGACGACGUCAAAUCAUCAUGCCCCUUAUGUCCUGGGCUACACACGUAAUACAAUGGCAUUUAACAGAGGGAAGCAAAACCGCGAGGUAGAGCAAAUCCCUAAAAGGUGUCUCAGUUCGGAUUGCAGGCUGCAACUCGCCUGCAUGAAGUCGGAAUUGCUAGUAAUCGCGGAUCAGCAUGCCGCGGUGAAUACGUUCCCGGGCCUUGUACACACCGCCCGUCACACCAUGAGAGUCGGGAACACCCGAAGUCCGUAGCUUAACCGCAAGGAGGGCGCGGCCGAAGGUGGGUUCGAUAAUUGGGGUGAAGUCGUAACAAGGUAGCCGUUCGAGAACGAGCGGCUG